rnacentral:rRNA from 1 species
GUUUAACGGCCGCGGUAUUUUGACCGUGCAAAGGUAGCGCAAUCACUUGUCUUUUAAAUAAAGACCUGUAUGAAUGGCAUAACGAGGGCUAAACUGUCUCCUCACCCCAGUUAAUGAAAUUGAUCUUCCCGUGCAGAAGCGGGAAUUAACACAUAAGACGAGAAGACCCUGUGGAGCUUUAGAUAACUGGAUGAAUUUAUUAAACAACAUAAACCAUAUAAAAGGUAAUUAAAACAAUAACCUCAUCUUAAAUCUUUAGUUGGGGCGACCGCGGAGCAAAACAAAACCUCCGUGAGGAUUGAGGUAAAAACCUUAUACCCAAGAACGUCAUUUCUAAGCACCAAAAUAUUUGACCUAUUAGAUCCGGCAACAGCCGAUCAACGGACCUAGUUACCCCAGGGAUAACAGCGCAAUCCUCUUUGAGAGUCCCUAUCGACAAGAGGGUUUACGACCUCGAUGUUGGAUCAGGACAUCCUAAUGGUGUAG